rnacentral:rRNA from 1 species
UACAGAGGUCCCAAGCGUUGUUCGGAUUCAUUGGGCGUAAAGGGUGCGUAGGCGGCGCGGUAAGUCGGGUGUGAAAUCUCGGGGCUUAACUCCGAAACUGCAUUCGAUACUGCCGUGCUUGAGGACUGGAGAGGAGACUGGAAUUUACGGGUGUAGCGGUGAAAUGCGUAGAUAUCGUAAGGAAGACCAGUGGCGAAGGCGGGUCUCUGGACA